rnacentral:rRNA from 1 species
GACGAACGCUGGCGGCGUGCUUAACACAUGCAAGUCGAACGGAAAGGCCCUGCUUUUGUGGGGUGCUCGAGUGGCGAACGGGUGAGUAACACGUGAGUAACCUGCCCUUGACUUUGGGAUAACUUCAGGAAACUGGGGCUAAUACCGGAUAGGAGCUCCUGCUGCAUGGUGGGGGUUGGUAAGUUUCGGCGGUUGGGGAUGGACUCGCGGCUUAUCAGCUUGUUGGUGGGGUAGUGGCUUACCAAGGCUUUGACGGGUAGCCGGCCUGAGAGGGUGACCGGCCACAUUGGGACUGAGAUACGGCCCAGACGCCUACGGGAGGCAGCAGUGGGGAAUAUUGCACAAUGGGCGGAAGCCUGAUGCAGCAACGCCGCGUGCGGGAUGACGGCCUUCGGGUUGUAAACCGCUUUCGCCUGUGACGAAGCGUGAGUGACGGUAAUGGGUAAAGAAGCACCGGCUAACUACGUG